GACGAACGCUGGCGGCGUGCUUAACACAUGCAAGUCGCACGAAGCGGCGAACGGGUGAGUAAUACGUGGGUAACCUGCCCUCCUUUUUGGGAUAAGCCUUGGAAACGGGGUCUAAUACCGAAUAAAGGGGGAUGGGCUCGCGGCCUAUCAGCUUGUUGGUGGGGUGAUGGCCUACCAAGGCGGUGACGGGUAGCCGGCCUGAGAGGGGGACCGGCCACAGUGGGACUGAGAUACGGCCCAGCCUCCUACGGGAGGCAGCAGUGGGGGAUAUUGCACAAUGGGCGAAAGUCUGAUGCAGCGACGCCGCGUGGGGGAGGAAGGCUUUCGGGUUGUAAACCUCUUGCGUCAUCGAACUGGUAGGUGGAGCAGAAGCGCCGGCUAACUACGUGCCAGCAGCCGCGGUAAUAC
rnacentral:rRNA from 1 species